rnacentral:ncRNA from 2 species
AACGUGCUCCGGGGUCGGUGAGAAUCCGAACCGGCGGUGAUAGUCCGCGACCCGCCCUCAUCGGCGGUUGACCUGGUGGAAUUCCGGGACCGACGGUUAAAGUCCGGAUGGGAGGAUGCACGCG